rnacentral:tRNA from 1 species
GGGGGUAUAGCUCAGCUGGGAGAGCGCUUGCAUGGCAUGCAAGAGGUCGACGGUUCGAUCCCGUCUAGCUCCACCA